CCUGCAGAAGCAAACGGUGUUCCAGAGAAGUCCCUGCAGAGACGCUGUCUCCCAGUCUGGAAGGAAGACAGAAGAGACCGCAUCACGUGGUAACGUGCAGUUUGGUCGGCCCGACUGAGCGGCCACCCAGUCACUGUUCCUCAGGUUAGCUGGAAGCUAACCCUUUGUUCACAGAACUUUCUUCGAACUUCGUCAUCGCCCGGACAACUCCUCCUCAGCAAGGGUCAGAGAAUCACUGGACCUGCCUUCCCCAGGGCAUCAGGAUGUUGUAUGCUUCAGAUCAUCAGCUAUUCACAUAUCUUUAUGUAAUUCAAAUAAAUGAUCUACAACUUG